GCUGGGCAUCUCUCCUCUGUCCUAUGGAACGUAGGAGGCUAGAAAAUGGUAAAUGCCUGCAGGGCCAGAGAAAUACCGCUUCCCUUUCCAAGCAGCCUUUCAGAACAAGCCUGUGUUAAUGGAGAAAGUCAUCUUCUAAACUCAAGAAGAAUGGAGAGAAGUUACCAAUUAGAUGCAGACAGUUCAAGAGGAAAAAUGGAAAUUUUUGAGUGGCCCAGUUGUCCUGUGCCACACAGAGAAGUCUUGAUGGAGAGCCGAAGCGUGGUUGAAAUUAAGGAGUAACUGAUGCAUGGAGGGCCUACUGUGUGUGCGUACCAUCAUUGGGAAGACGCUGAAUCAGCUCCUAUGCACAGUGAGAC